GAUCUCCUUUUUCAACAUCACUCCCCCUCAAAACGUAUCUUGCCCUCGCGUAGUUGCCUGACAGGAUUUUGGUCGCCUUCCUGACAGCUAUGGUAAUUUCCUGCUUUUUGGGUUACUCGACUGGGAUUCCCAUUUAGCUCCACUCAACAGGAGGCCCAUGCUUAGUUCUCUCCUUGUUAGUGUUUAUGCUCAACUCAUCCUCACCCUUCUGGUAAGAGGGCUCCUUGACACUGAUAUCUUGACACCCUCGCAGGCAGAAGAGAAGGCCUAAGUUUGUCUCACUUCUUUUUGCCUCUUUAAAAUAAAUUGGCCUGUACUGGCUGCCAUGAGGCUGAGUUAUUUCAAGUGCAUAACUCAGGGUGACAGGUAUGCCAUUCACUAUGCCAGUAUUGGGUCUGCCUUCUAAUCUCUGCUUUCAUUCACGGUGGUUCUAUCUCUCUUGACCGCAAGAGUCAGUCCUGGGAGCGGUGUGGGGCUCGGACAGUUGUAAGAUGUGUUGUGUGGGCUGAAUUAGCUGUUGUACAAUUCCUGUCUAUCUCAUUGAAUACAGCUUUCAGCGGCCCCUCGUGCCAAGUUUGAGUCCAAUUAAACUACAAUGAAAGCCCUGAAGAUGGCUGCCUGCAGGGAAGAAUCCUAACGUGACCCGAGAUAUCGGAAAGCGUUUCUGACCACACAAAUGGAAAAGGCUCAAGAAUAGCAAAACUGACUCUACAACAGAAAUAAGUCUUCUCCAUCCACUGAAUCUUUCAGCUGAGCCCGGAGUAAGAUCUGAAAAGAGGAAGAGUUAUAAGUGGAAAUUUUGCAGUCUGGUUGGGUGAAGGUCAACAUUCACCCAGUACAUUUUUUUGAUCAUCCCACCAUCACUAUCCUUAACUCUCAAGGCACAAGAAACGGUCACAUUAUCGAGCUGGAAGAGAAAUAAGGAACAAAAGAAAUUAUUCAUGGAGUUACAAUGCAAAGAAGUCUAUUUUAAAAAUAAACAGAACUGAGUUUUUGGAGCCUCUGAAUAAAAGAUAAGUUGACUGCACACAGAAUGUCAAAAUGGAGGGGAAGGAAGGUAUUUUUCCCCCCAACACUUUUUUUCUGUACUGAAGCACGACACAAAGAAAAAAAAAAAAAAAACUAAUUAUAGUUUUAAAUGUCCAAAACGCCAUGUCCACCAAAAGCCCGAUGCUCAUUAGUACUAGUAAUUAACUUUACAACUGUCAACACAAACAGCACACAGGCUGACAGAUAGAGAGUAGCUCGGAGGGUGCUAAUAAAUCCGGAAAUAACAACUUGACAUACAGAUGCACAAAAGGAUGCAGGUGAUAAAGAAAUGUUGACAUCAAAUCUAAUUAUCUUCGAAACGGCCAAGUACAGCACGAGCCACAGUUAUUGCUGGUGAUGAGCCCCACCGGAACGGCGCUUAACCACUGCCUGCAACCCAGCUUUUACAGCCCUUGUCAGAGCUGGUGAGGACAAUAUCAAACAGGAAAUUAUGAGUGCCAUGACCUCUCCAAGUCAAAAAUCCAGUGAUGAAUAUGGGCUCAGCAAGGCAUAGCAGAUUACCCCCUCACGAGUUCUAAAGCUGGGAUGAUAUAUGACAUUUUUAUCAGGCACUUUCUCAGGAAUGUCACCAAGAGGGAAAAUAAAGGCCCAUGCGCAGAGACUAGGUGAAUUAUGCAACUGUAAUUGCCGAUCAUAACCUGAUGUGAGUUGAAAUUGCUCUGUUUUCAUAUUGAGAUAGCAUAAAAUUGUCGGGAAAUGCAAUGGCUCCUUAAUGUGGGCUAGAUGAGUCUAAUAUUCUGAUCAUUUUUCACUCGGCUUGCAAGGUAAAUCGAGCUUCCUUCGCACAGCCACUGUGGCCCAGGGCAAUCGAGGGGCCCAAUUUUACACUUGAAUUGAGCAAAUAUGUGUAAACCACGAUUUUUCAUAUUUUCUGCAUGCAUAAGAAGAUGAAACAUCUUUAUCAUCUGUAUUGUCUGGCUGAGCUUAUACAAAAUAUUAGUUUAUCUGUCCUACUUUGGUUCAUUCCAUAAGCGAGACACAUAGAUCUGAAGGAAGGCAAUAUCCCCCCCAUAUAUAGAACAAGUCCAUCUUUUAUGCAGUGUCACCGCACAAGUUUUCCUAUUUGGAGCCAACGCCACCACCACAAAAGUCGACACAGUGGCAGCGCCACAAAGGAAGACAUUUUUUCGAGGGGAGGAGAGGAGGCCAAUCCAGGCGCUAAACGCAGCCAACUGUUCCGUCAUUCUCCUGUUUGCGCACGGGAGCUGGGGGAAAGCCAAAUAAUCCCUGAUGUCUCUGCUAGACUGUCUCCCUUUUCCCACUUAAAUCAGUUACACCGGCAAGAGGCUGGUAUCAGCAUUUUAUUGCUUUCCCGCUGCGGCCUGCGGCAAACGGAAAAACAACGUGUUGGCUUUCUUCCUCCUUGGAGUCAGCUCUAAACCUGGGAGCAUCGUGACAGUGUUAUUGGGGCUCUCGGGUGCCUGGUCCCGUUCCUUCUGGUUCCUGAGCCCCGUCCCCUAAAGGGUGGAGGACCCAGGCCCAAGCAGAGAUGCUUCUUUGUUACAAAGUGGAUUUUUCCCUCCGUAACUUCUGCUUCUCAUCCCCGGGGCCUAGGCAGCCACACAAGGCCACCUGUGUCCGGGGCAAGCUCUAGUUCAGCCUGGAGUCUAGCCUAGAGGAUGAGGUCCUGGAAAUAGGUCUGUUAAUGAAUCAGUCUCUCUGUACACGCCAUGAUAGCAGGGUCCCUCUGAAGAUGGGUUCCUUCCACUGUGACUCGUGACUGACCGUCAAUAUGUAUUAGCGCUUUACUGGCUGGCGUCUUUAUCUUCUCGACAUUCCUAGAAGCAUUCCAACGCUAGGCCUAAGACAUGACUCAUCCCCCGGCCAUGUUCAGCCUCAAGCCAGAGUGAAACCUGCAUUUAUGCAGCCAGCAAGUAUACACAGCAUUAAAAUAAUCUCGUGAGUUUUUUUUUGUUCUUUUGGAGACAAUCAAUCAGUUGGUUUUUAAUCAAAGGACCCCUAGAUAAUAGGGUUGCUGCUAACAGAGAGGCUGCAGAGAAAUAAAGAAAAGCGACACACUAAAAAGAGCCACUCAAAUGGGAGUCAAAUUCAGCAAUGGGAUGCUCAUAGCCCAGGGCCAAGAACUUGAGAUCACCUUCCCUCUUCUCUAAUGGCCAACCAGUUCCAUAAUGAGUCAAUGCGAUAUGGGGCAGUGCUGAAUAAAGUGUGCUAGAACUGUCUGAAACUAAACGAAGCUAAGGUACAGUUAGAGAAAAAAGUGUUUUCUGUGACAUACAUAUAGAUACUGGGAUGCCAGGAGGCUGUGUAAAAGACGACUUUCUCAGUUUUAGGGCCCCCUCCCCACAUUCUGGCUCCCUCCUUUGCACGCCCACUGCACUUACCUGAAUGGCCCUUGAGCACUCUAAGUUCCUCAGAGGCAGGGACCUUGCCUUAUUUGUCCUGGUAUCCCCAGCAUCUAGCAACAUCCUUGGCAGAGCUGACAUUCAACAAAUACCUACUGAAUAAAGUGAUGCUUACGGUGAUCAGCCAUUACACUCGUCAUUUAUUUCUGUGCCAUGAGUUACCCUCCAAAUUAAGGACUUAAAACCAUGAGCGUUAUUAUCUAGCAGUUUCUGGGGCUCAGGAAUUUGGGAGUUGGGUGGCUCUUGGAAGGACACAAGUAACCUAUCAGUUGGUGCUGCAGUCAUCUGAGGCUGGAAGAUAUACUUCUAAGGUCACUGGUGUGGCUGUUGGCUAAAGGCCUCAGUGGCUUACCAUGAGGCUUUUGGCACAGAACUGCUCACAACAUGGCAACUGGCUUCCCUCAGAGUAAGUGGUCCAGAAAGAAAGAGAUUGCAAGUAGCCACACUGCCUUUCACGAACUAAUUCCCGCCCCCCCCCCCACCUUGGUAUGUCCAUCAGAAGCAAGUCACCAAGUCUAGCCCAUAUUGAAAGGGAGGCUGUGAAUUUCAGGGGGGUAGGGAUCACUGGGGACCAUCCCGGAUGCUAGUUGCCACAGCUAGAUUCUAAGGGAACAAAUUCAACCAACAAUGACUGAGUUCCCGCUAUGGAACAGAACCUGCGCUGAGUACCAGGGAUGCAAUGGUCUGUGGAAAGCAAGGUAUGUGGCCCCUGAAGGUGGGGGCUACACGACUAGAGUAUGAGAGCUCGGGGCGGGAACACAGGAACACAGAGCACUCCUAGCUUAAGAUACCUGAACUGGAACCGUAGGCCAUUAGACAGGAUUGUUAUUAUACGUGCCAUUAUUAUGCACCAGCCACCACUUUUGGCUUUUCCCCAAAUAAUUAUACAUUGUCCUGAAAAUACAGUGCUCUGUUGUGACGGUGAGCCCUUUAUAGGUACGAGGCAAGAAUCAGGGGUGGUUAUCAGCUUCCUUUCUCCAACGAGGAACUUUGAGCCAGGAGGGCAAAGACUUUCUUGACUGCCACCUUCAUUCUUCAGGCAGAAAACAAGUCAGAGGUGGAGACAGAAAAUCUGUUUUCUGGGCCCUGAAGAUACCCUUCUACUCACUAAAUAAUGGGAACCUGAAUUAUGCCCAUAAAUGACCUGAGCCAAACUAACCCAAAACAGAAUCUUCCGGAGUAAUUUAUUUGCUAUUUUGUAUUUUCCUAAUUUUUGUUUUUAAAGUAGUGGAAGAUGGGAGCAUAAGUUUUUCUGCUUCUGUGUUUCUUGUUUUGUUUUGUUUUUUAAUCCCAAGAAUCGACUCUUCUCUUCCUAGGGGAUCUUUAUUGAAUUGCAACACACUCGAUAUUAUUAAGAAUUCUGAUCAGAGGUAAACAUGCAAAACACUCAGCCAAGGGGAUUAAGACUCUUUGUUAGUGUUUACGUUAUCUGUUUUUAAUUCCUAUAUAUCCUUUCUUUAUCUCAGUGUUUCAACACUAAUUGCAAAACAGCCCUCACUAACAGUAAUGAGUCCCUGGACCUUUGCAGACCUCCAGACAGAGCUCGGUGCAUAGAUAAGGCAGCCCCUUAACAAGGCUCAGUAUCUGGAUCAAGGUCUUUUACUGCUUUUCCACUUUCUUUUGCUCAUUUGGGCUUCCAGAGGCUAAACCAGCUCACUAAAUCAUGGAGUUCAGGGUGAUAUCUUAGUCAGCGGAGAGUCUAAACUCAGCUGAAUCUAUUGAAAUGGAUAUGCUGUUCCCGGCUUGUUCAAGAUGCUUCCUUACUUGAAAUGGAGCAAGGCUGAACAUCAGUAUAUAUAGGAGCGCCCAUUCUACUCGGUUCCGCAAGCAGGGCUUCAUGAAAACUGGGCCCUGUCCUCCAAUUAAUCCUGGUUCACUGGUAUGAACUGACUAACACUAAAUUAGGCUUGUUCUACAGGAUUUCAACCAUCAGACCCAACUCUGUUCUCCAUCUUUUCCUUCCCUGAACGUUCAUGCCGCGUUUCGGGUAAUGUCCCCUGAGUUUUGCCUGCGUGGGAAUCAUAGUCAGGCGUCAAAGAAAGAGAACGAGCUCUCCUAUCAGUGGGGCUGGUUCAAUUGCCACUUACUUUAUUUAGCGAGAGAGAAGGUACAUUCUGUCUUCCCUUUCCCUUAUCCCCAAUUUUCCACUCAGCCGUCUCUAGGAUUACAAAUAUCUUUUACUCUUUUUUCAUUACCGACUCACCUCCACAUUGAAAUGGUUACCUGUUUCAUCUUCCUGUCUGGUCUCUUCCUGUAGCCCCCUUCCAGGGACUUAAUUCAGAGACUGUUGCUAAGCAACUAUACAUCAUAGCAGCCACUCGCCGAUCACUAAUUGUCCUCAGCACUUUAGCCUUACAAAUCCGGACAGCCUGCAACAAUGGCCAGGAGUUGCCGUGGCCAAAAACAUACCCAGAAGGUUUCUUAGCCCAGUAUGGACAGAGGCACCAAUGACCAGGUACCGCCGUCACAGCAGUCACCAAGACCUCCGGUCCGAUGCCUACCGAACCGCACCGUUGUAAACCCAUCAGCCGGGCACCGUUCUCCGGUCGUGCUCAGGAAAUGAAACUGGAGGUGAGGCUGGAAAUAUCUGAACACACGCACUGAUGAAAAUGUGGACGCCGACAUUUCACACACAUUCACCUUCCUCCCCGCUGGCCACCCCAUUUCUAUCGUCUCUGGUUGAAUGGAGGAUCUAUUAGUAAUCAAAUUUCAGCCUCAAUUUUAUGGUGAGUGUAAUGGAGUUAAUUUCUCUAAUGCUAGCAGUUCAUGGAAAAGGUCUCUUGUGGCAGCACAGGCCUGGGAUCCGCAGCAGCUGUCAAAGAUGCCGCUAAGGAAUUCUUUAUUAGCUAAGAUGCAACCAGGCAGAAAACUCAUUACACAGUGCUAAAUAUACUUAAUCACAUCUAUUAGAGAAAAAUGAACUUGAUAAUUACAACAAAUAACUAAACUGUAGAAAGUGUUCAAGGGAAAAAAAAAAAAAAAAAAACAACAACCCACACCAGGAUCUAAGUAUACAGGGAAUGUGAGCCGCUCAAGAGUCAAGGCGAACUAAGAAUGUGAGGCUUUGUGCGGAAGGAGAAGCCCAGUCUCCAGGUAGGUGGAGCUGAUUUAAGUUGCUCAAGAAAAUGACACAUUUACAUUUCAAAAGUGCCCUUGUUUAUUUAGUAUAUGUAAAAUUUUAAUUAGAAAGGAAUCCUCAGAGGGUAGAUGCUUUGUUUGUAGACUGGUUCUUGGUGCAGCGGGGAGGGGUAGGGGUGUUGUAAGGGAGCCCAGGGUAAACACUGGGUUUGACAAAUAGAGAUCUAUAAUAGCUCGGUGACACGUAGGACUUCCCUGGAGCCUAACAAAUGUUGAGAGUCAAAUUUGUCUUUUUCGUCUAUCUCAGAAUGGAAGUCCCUGAGGUGGUGGGGGCGGGGGAGGGGUGGGGGGAACCUCCACCAUCCCCGACUGAGGAGUAUACAUGAGAAGCCCCACAGUGAAUGUCCCCUAUCAGUUCUUCCCUGCCUGACCUCACUCAGGAGAAGUCACUACCGACAGAGGCAGUGCUGGGCACUUCCGCUUCUGGUAGCCUACAGGAAGAACCAAGAUGGCUCUGAGGUGAGACCCAACAGGAGGCCAUCUCUGGAGACCAGGAGAAGGGGACACCUGAUCACGGUUAACCGUGAGUUGAGAGAUCAGGCUUCUGGGAGAGAAAAAUGGAGGGUGGGCAGAGGUGAGACGCAACAGAAUAAAUGCUGAAAGGCAGGAGAUGCCAUCCUACCGUAGAGCUCAGGGGAGCCCCAAGAAGUUGUGACAAGCAAGGGCCAAAGCAGGCCGAAAGCGAGCCUGGAGGAGUCCUGACUGGCUGGCAACUCCUCUCUGCAGAGAGGAAGGAUGGGCACCGUUUUUAAGCAUGGGAGUGGCGGGACGGUUUCAUCUCUCUCGAGUGGGCUGAACAAAAAUAUGCUGCCGCUACCUUUGACCUCUGACGGCGGCAGCAGGAGAGGCCCCCCGACCCUCAACAUUGGGCAAAGCAAAAGUCAAGCCUGUACCUCCACAAGAAUAACUUUCCUCGUACUCCUCAUAUUUAAAGGGAAUGAAAACAGAAGCACUAAAUGUGAUUCUCCCCCAUCCCCAACACUCAAGUUUCCUGGUCAAAGAGUCGGGGGAAUGGCCUUUGGCAUAAGUGAGGGACAUUCUUGUUCUGUCACCAACUCAGUCUGUAACCUUGUCCUAGUUUCCCGCCAGGAAACCCCUCCUUCCCAGACAAAGCGUAGAGGGUUCUGGCACAAUCCACGCUAGCCCUGGUAGUACCCCACUCCCCGGGCUACCAUCAAGGCAGGUGAGCCCCUGUGCUGGGAACGCCAGGACAGGGCUGCUCGCUUCUCCCCACGUGAUGCGAACGCAGAAGGACAGAGCCUUGAGAGUUGCUGGCAGCCAUCUUGUGACCCAGUGAGGAGAGUCUACGGGGGACUCACGAAGGCGGUCGCAUCAGCAUGUGGAGCAAAAAGACACAGGUCACAGCCACCUCAUUUGAACCCAAGAUCACGCUGUGCUAAGGCCAGAUCUUCUUGUCCUUUUCUAACACAUGAGCCAAGGAGUCAUUUUCUCCACUACUUUCCCCCACAUCCAAGCCGGGCUCUUCCCCCCAUCUCAACUGAAGGAAACCUAACUGGGGGAGCGUCCCACGUCCCCUCUCGACCACCAUGCUUCACAUGGACUCAGCCUGCCCCUGAAAGGCCAAGUGACUUAAGAGGAAACGACCUAAGCCAGGUGACCGUUGAUGGUGUUUAGGGCCUACAUCCUGCAGCCCAGACCCCCGGGAAUGGGCAUUUUUGAACCUGGGCCACAGUGCAGAGGAUCACUGGAUCACGGGCACUGGCUCUCGGAGCUGGGUACAGAGAUCAGAGGACGCGGGCGGCGUAUCGGCCCAAACCAGCCAUCCAGCUGCACCGUGUUUCAUCACAUAUCAGUUUUUACUGAAAAGAAAACCAUACAAAUUUAAUCAGCUCUUCAUAUGGAAAUAUUUAACUUUUUUCCCCUGGAGUUGUUUGAUAUUAUUGUUUUCAGAGUCAGGAUUAAAAAAAAAAAAAAGUCAAGAUGUGUGAUAGUGGUGGACACGGAAAAGCAUCCAUUUCUGGCAAGAAUGCAAGUCUCAUUUCCAGUAGACUCAAGUCUUAAAUGCACUGGCGUCUCCGUCAAUUGCCUGGCUCAAUGAAGAACAUAUUACAUGCCCAUAACCAUGAAGUAUAAGACGAGAAUGAUCCAUCCCUGCACAGCCCUCACCCGCACUCAAGGCAGAAUGCCAUUAUCGGUGAGAAUAAUACGAUCUCAGAAGAGUUCCUGUUGCCCGCAAGCUUAGGGAGUGUUCUGUUUUGGCAUCCGAAUCUCUGAGGCUUCCAUUUGCUCCUCUGCCCUUCAAAGAUGUUAUCAAACAACUCUGUUCCAGAACUUUUAAUCUCUGAAAACCUAUAACGUGGAACUCUCUUACAUAUACACCUAUUAAAGGACUAUGUUCUCUCUCAGUAGUCAUAAAGUGUAAAACACCUCUUAAAAGCGACUUCCUUUGUUUCCCAGCCAAGGGCACAGGAGACAAAAGAGGCUGCCUUUUAAAUAUAAUUUUAAAACACCGUGUUAAAUAAAAUGAAGUGUUGAUAUACAAAGUGAUUUAAAAACGAGGGCUGCUUUUGAGAUCAUGGGCGUUUUUAAGCGCAAAAAGUGACGUAAGCUGCAGGCCAGAGCCAAGAAUUUCCCAUCUCCGAAAUGGGUCAUCAGGAGCUCGGGAGUGAGGAAAGCGUAGCGCGUUGUCACCAGCUGCAACUGAGAAGACCCGCAAGUGUGAAGGCCACACAUCGCUGGUGCCAUUCGUGAGGGGGGCAGGUCAACCGUAAAGCGUGGCCCGACCCCAGACCAGGACAACUGUCCAAAGCACAGUCUCAAAUCCUUACAAACGUCUACCCCUGAGCAACCCGUAAAGCAAUAACGGGGUACCGGCUGUGCAGCUAUGAGAGCGCCAAUCCACAUCCCGAUGAAUUUUCUCGGCGCGAUUUCGCUCUAUGGUGGAGGAAUGGGGCCACUUACGAAGGGCCAUGGUGUCUGCUGCGUGGGCAGGGGUAAUCGGGCAGGCUCCUGGAGACCUCUCCUGGCCAUCACCAUGUUACGAACACUUGCCUUUCCCCUCGAAGGAAGAGAGAGGGUGGAAACUGUUGGCAACUGAGGAGAUUACAGGCCUCUUCCUGAGACAGGGGCUUUCUGCAACCCAAGGCACAGACAACUUUAUGUUGAUGUUAUGGAUAAUGCUUUUUUUUUUUUUUUUUUUUUUUUAAAGAGGAAAAAGAAAUCCCACUUCUAUUAUGCAAUCAGGAAAUUGAAGAUGCCUAUCUCCAGAUAACCAACUGGCUGUGGUAGGAUUUCAGUUGGAAACUUUCACGGAGAAUGUUUUCCUACUGUCGGUUCUGGUGUUUCUGUCACUUCACAUUGACUUUUUUUUGCUCUCUGUAGCAAAUAAAUCAGAAAGUUAAUAGUUAUGUUGAUUUGUUGGAGCCUUUCCCCCACCCCCUUCCUCUAAAAAAAAUAAAGAGAAGAAAAGAAUAGCUUUAGAGGGGGGAAAUACUGAUCCCAGCGUGUUAACAACUCCAUCGCGGUUUCGGGCUGUGGUGAUGCCAACUGUCUAGUAAAAAGAGAAAUUCCACUGUAGCAGAAGUAAUAAAAUCUUCUUUUAAAGCACAAAUACCACGCAGGGAGGAAACGUAAACCCUUGCAUUGGGGCAAGGAAGGUGGGGGGGGUGGUAUGGAGUAAAAUAUGGGCUGGAACAUAGAGGAUUUGCGGUAACCACUCUACUUUGGAUAAUCUUUCACCAAAAGCAGCUGUUUCCAUGACCCAGAACCUUCUCUUUCUCUUAAUCCAUCACCUAAAGGAUUGCAGAAAGAUGUAAGCUAUUAUCGGAGGCUACCUUCAUUGUUAUUCAUAUGGCAAAAUAUUUAUCACCCACUGUUUUUUCAAAGAAGCUCAUCCCAGAGAUGGAUAGUCAGAAGAUUCCCAUCAGCAUAGCAACGUGCUUACGGCAAGCCAAAUGUGGCUGCUCUGGGAGGGAGACAGGUGGUAGAUCCGCCUGCAACGGCAGCAGAGCCUUCGCUCUCCGACUGACCACACGCACGUGCCCAUAAACACCAACAGGCGGCACCGGUGGAAGCAGGCCGCCGUCUCUUCCGGCGCAAAGCCCCUCCGGUGUCUCGUGUCCCCGCCCCGCGCUGAUCGGCAGUGUUCAAUUUUUAAUAAAAGAGUUACACAAGCGACGAUACUUGUGGAAAGAGGCCGCUGACGGACCGGCCGAGUCCGGCGCGUGAUGGGGGCCGCGGAGCCGCAGACGAACAAUGGGGGCUUACAGCGAGAUGUACGCGGGGGAUCGCAAAUAACCCGGCAUCUGGUUUCUUUAUCUGAGUACCUUUCUUACGGUUUGGAUCUUAAUUUUUUACAGUUGACAGCAGUGUUAUUUGAGCCAGUCAGUGGCAUCUGGCUGCUGGAAAGGGG